GACAUUUACAUGCUUUUAAGUUUUAACAUACUAUCGACUUGCACCCCCUCACCAAUCUUGCGCACACCGCCACUGUCAUGACUCCCACCGCCUCAUCCUCGUGCUGUCGUCGCACUCGUGGCCCUAUCACUCAUUUUCUUCAGCCGAGCAGAGAGGCUGGGCAGCACUCAGUCGUCUUAUUCAGCCGGUCAUGAAGGCCUUGGUGGCUGUGUACAGGUACAGGUACGAUGUGCCUUGGUGGCUGUGUACAGGUACGAUGCAACCUCAGCGGCGCAGCAAACAACAACAAUCAGGCAGUGUACAAGCACUAGGCAGCGACUGAGCGGCGCAGCAAACAACAAUAAGCGGCAGCGACCAACAACAAUCUCCAGUGUUAUUAGGAUGCAACCUCUGAUGAUCACUCGUCACAUUCGUCGUCCAUUGAUUUUUACAAUCCUGUGAUGUUGGCAGAACGAUGAGUUGUGGCUACCUGAACUUUUGAUUUGUUCUGCACUGCAGCGUCUAAUGCACCGUUCAGUUUAAUCAAGUGACUAUGGUUGUGAUAUAUAACAGAAUGGUUGGCAAGAAAAGACUAUGCCAAUUACGACAAACGAGGCCAGAAGAAGUUCAUCAAAAGAUAAUGGUUGUUGUUCUGAUUCAGUCAAAUUCAUCAAAAGAGAAAGCAAUACAGUUCCUUACAUCCAGUCACGUCAGAAGAAGUUCUGCGCUGGACUGCGGUUACUUUCUGCUUACUAUCUUCUUGUUGCCCAGGAACCAUACAUAUUAGUUUACAGGCUUGGAUACCGUUAAGAGAAGCAAGAAAACAAACAUCCAAAAUACAAAGACAACUCAGUCCCUUAGAUGUUCUUUGACCAUGCGAUCAUUUCCGCAGGAGUCAUUACAGGUCUGUAACUGUAAAAUUGGCUCAUCACAGUUGUCCAAAUAAGAACACAAAGAGCGUAUCAAAGGGGAUUUUGUGUGUGACAAGAACAUGUAUGUACAGAGCCACCGGUGCAAUAAAAAUAAGAAGCUGGUAAUACUAAGAAUGUUUUUCAGAAAACUCUCAAAUAUUAACUCUCAAAUAUGGCUAACAGAGCACAGAUCCACCAAUGCAGAUUCAGAAGUAUGUCAAUCAGCCAUCUACCGAGUCAGAUUCAGAAGUAUGUCAAUCAGCACAGAUCCACCAAUGCAGACCCUAAGACUGGGGCGACAAAUAUGAAAUCAUUAUCCUCAAACUGGUUUGGAAGAUCAUUGCAAGCAUCGAAGUAUCUGUUGUGCAUUCGCAAUCAAAGUUUAAGUGACCUGAAGAACCUAAUCCCUCUUGACAACAACCACAAAAGAUACCACAAAAGAAAACGAAUAGGAACUCGAUAAGAAACACUAAAAAAAAGGAACUCGGUAAGAACGUGGCAACUGAUAAUCACACCUGGAAGAUCAUAUUUAUUGUACAAAAAAUCAACAUAUUUAAUAAGCAGAUAGAAAUUCCUUCUCUAUUUAGUUUAGUUUAAUCAUAAGCCAAAUACAAAAAAAGAAUUAACAUGGAAAACCAAGAUAGUAUAUAAGAAGAGGACUCAGAAUAUGGGUGGUGAUAUAGCAGGAUGGUCGGCAAGGCAAAUAAAUGCCAGUUACGACGAACGAGACCAAAUAUCAAUCUUCACCGUCCUCCAAGGAAUCUAUACAUCUACACCAUAAUAAUGUAGGGUUCUACAU